rnacentral:rRNA from 1 species
UACGGAGGGUGCAAGCGUUAAUCGGAAUUACUGGGCGUAAAGCGUGCGCAGGCGGCUUGCCAAGUCAGAUGUGAAAGCCCCGGGCUCAACCCGGGAACGGCGUUUGAAACUGGCAGGCUAGAGUUUGGCAGAGGGGGGUGGAAUUCCACGUGUAGCAGUGAAAUGCGUAGAGAUGUGGAGGAACACCGAUGGCGAAGGCAGCCCCCUGGGCCAAAACUGACGCUCAGGCACGAAAGCGUGGGGAGCAAACAGG